AGCCAGAGGUGAGGAAGUUGGCUGAGCCUGGGAAGGAGAAGCCUGAGGGCUACUCUGAAAAAGCCCAGAAGGGUGAUCUUGGGAAAGACAGUGAGGAGUCAGAGGAGGACGGAGAGGAAGAGGAGGAAUCCGAGGAGGAGGAAGAAACAUCAGAUUUAAGGAACAAAUGGCACCUGGUGAUUGACCGCCUCACUGUGCUCUUCUUAAAAUUCCUGGAGUAUUUUCACAAGCUGCAGGUGUUCAUGUGGUGGAUUUUGGAGUUGCACAUCAUCAAAAUCGUUUCCUCUUACAUUAUCUGGGUUUCCGUGAAAGAGGCAAGUGAACAUUUGUCCUAUCAUCAGGCUGAACAGAACCACAGUAGGUCAUCAUUUUCCUUUUCUAGCUGUCCAUGAUUUUUUUAAUGUAAUCCCCAUUACAUUGGAGUAUCAAGACUCCAAGACUAAGGACUUACACUUACAGAAAUCCGAGGGUCAGCAGCACUGAGAAAAAGGAAAGAGGCUCAUGGCUGAGUUUCUCAUUGGCUUGGUCAUAUUACAAAGGCUACUUAUUUUCAUCGAAUCCUCAGGGAAGAGUGUGAGAGCAGGCUGCCCUUCUGCCCCUGCCUAUGGGAAGCUAACUCCCUAAAUUCUCCAAGGAAAACAGUAGCAUUCCAGUUUACAUUACCAAGGAGAAAGCUCAGGUUCCAAAAUCUAAUAAAAUCUU
rnacentral:sRNA from 1 species